AUUGAACGCUGGCGGCAUGCUUUACACAUGCAAGUCGAACGGUAACAGGCCGCAAGGUGCUGACGAGUGGCGAACGGGUGAGUAAUGCAUCGGAACGUGCCCAGUCGUGGGGGAUAACGCAGCGAAAGCUGCGCUAAUACCGCAUACGAUCUCUGGAUGAAAGCGGGGGACCGAAAGGCCUCGCGCGAUUGGAGCGGCCGAUGUCAGAUUAGGUAGUUGGUGGGGUAAAGGCCCACCAAGCCAACGAUCUGUAGCUGGUCUGAGAGGACGACCAGCCACACUGGGACGGAGACACGGCCCAGACUCCGACGGGAGGCAGCAGUGGGGAAUUUUGGACAAUGGGCGCAAGCCUGAUCCAGCAAUGCCGCGUGCAGGAAGAAGGCCUUCGGGUUGUAAACUGCUUUUGUACGGAACGAAACGGUCCGGGUUAAUACCCUGGGCUAAUGACGGUACCGUAAGAAUAAGCACCGGCUAACUACGUGCCAGCCGCCGCAGUAAUAC
rnacentral:rRNA from 1 species